GAACAUAGUCUAUCGGACCUGG
rnacentral:miRNA from 1 species